rnacentral:ncRNA from 2 species
UGUUGCAGUUAAACGCCCGUAGUCUGAAUUGGCCAGCAAUGGUCGUACGUAUUUUUACGUUCACUGUGAACAAAUCAGGACGCUUAGAGUAUGGCCACAUGAAUGACUCAGCGCAGUAUGAAGUCUUUGUUUUCUUCCGAAAACAAGCUCAAUGAGAGCCAUCGGGGGUAGAUCUAUCUCAUGACGAGUGGUGGAAUACUUUGACUCAUGAGAGAGAAGCUGAGGCGAAGGCGUCUACCUAGAGGGUUUCUGUCGAUCAAGGGCGAGAGUAGGAGUAUCCAACAGGAUUAGAGACCCUGGUAGUUCCUACCUUAAACGAUGCCGACAGGAGUUUGUCAUUUGUUAAUGGCAGAAUCUUUGGAGAAAUCAUAGUUCUUGGGCUCUGGGGGAACUACGACCGCAAGGCUGAAACUUGAAGGAAUUGACGGAAGGGCACACCAGGGGUGGAGCCUGUGGCUUAAUUUGAAUCAACACGGGGAAACUUACCAGGACCAGAUGUUUUUUAUGACUGACAGGCUUCGGGUCUUUCAGGAUAUUGUUUUUGGUGGUGCAUGGCCGUUGGUGGUGCGUGGGUUGACCUGUCUAGCGUUGAUUCAGCUAACGAGCGAGAUUAUCGCCAAUUAUUUACUUUGCCGAAGUCCUUCGGUUAAAGUUCUAAUUGGGACUCCCUGCGAUUUUAGCAGGUGGAAGAGGGUAGCAAUAACAGGUCCGUGAUGCCCUUUAGAUGCUCUGGGCUGCACGCGUGCUACAAUGUUAGGAUCAAUAGGACUGCGAGCCUGAGAGGGUGCGCUACUCUUAUAAUCCCUAACGUAGUUGGGAUUGACGUUUGUAAUCAGCGUCAUGAACCAGGAAUCCCUUGUAAAUGUGUGUCAACAACGCACGUUGAAUACGUCCCUGCCCUUUGUACACACCGCCCGUCGCUCCUACCGAUUGGAUGACUCCGUGAAAUCACCGGAUGCUUACGAGCAGAAAGUGAUUAAAUCACGUUAUCUAGAGGAAGGAGAAGUCGUAACAGGGUAACGGUAGGU